rnacentral:rRNA from 1 species
GACGAACGCUGGCGGCGUGCCUAAUACAUGCAAGUAGAACGCUGAAGCAGGAGCUUGCUUCUCUGGAUGAGUUGCGCACGGGUGAGUAACGCGUAGGUAACCUGCCUGGUAGCGGGGGAUAACUCUUGGAAACGAUAGCUCAUACCGCAUAAGAGUAGAUGUUGCAUGACAUUUGCUUAAAAGGUGCAAUUGCAUCACUACCAGAUGGACCUGCGUUGUAUUAGGUAGUUGGUGGGGUAACGGCUUACCAAGGCGACGAUACAUAGCCGACCUGGGAGGGUGGUCGGCCACACUGGGACUGGGACACGGCCCAGACCCCUACGGGAAGGAGCAGUAGGGAAUCUUCGGCAAUGGACGGAAGUCUGACCGAGCAACGCCGCGGGAGUGAAGAAGGUUUUCGGAUCGUAAAGCUCUGUUGUAAGAGAAGAACGAGUGUGGGAGUGGAAAGUUCACACUGUGACGGUAUCUUACCAGAAAGGGACGGCUAACUACGUG